rnacentral:rRNA from 1 species
AAAUUAUGGAUUUAGAGUAGAAUUGAAGUUUUUUAUAAUUAUUAGGUAGAAUUUUAAUUAUAAAUAGUAACAUGUUUUAUUUUCAUAGAAAUUAUAGUAGGGACCAGGAUUAGAUACCCUGUUACUUAUAUUUAAUAAAUUUUGGAUUAGUAGUAUUAAUGAAAUUUAACGGAUUUGGCGGCAAGAUAGCCAUUUAGAGGAACCUGCCCUAUAAACGAUGAACCACGAAUUUCUUUACUUCUAUUAGUAAAUCAGUUUGUAUACCGCUGUUGUCAGUUAGUUUCUUUAGAAAGCUUUCGUUAUUGAAAAAUUCAAGGACUUCAAGUAAAGGUGCAGCUUAUGUAGAAGGUAGAGGUGGGUUACAUUUAUAAGAUUAAUACGGAUAAAAUUAAUUAAAAGGUUUUUGAAGGUGGAUUUAAAUGUAAGAUUUAAGAAGAUCUGAUGAAGGCUCUUUCUUGUGUACACACCGCCCGUCGCUCUCUUUAUUAAAC